rnacentral:rRNA from 1 species
AAUCAACGCUGGCGGCGUGCCUCAGACAUGCAAGUCGAACGCGAAAGUUUCCUUCGGGAAGCGAGUAGAGUGGCGUCCGGGUGAGUAACACGUAGGUAAUCUACCUUUGGGUGGGGAAUAACAACCGGAAACGGUUGCUAAUACCGCAUAAUGCAGCGGCACCACAUGGUGACAGUUGUUAAAGCGGGGGAUCGCAAGACCUCGCGCCUAAAGAGGAGCCUGCGGCGGAUUAGCUAGNGGUAAGGUAACGGCUUACCAAGGCAACGAUCCGUAGCCGGCCUGAGAGGGCGGUCGGCCACACUGACACUGAAAUACGGGUCAGACUCCUACGGGAGGCAGCAGUCGGGAAUUUUGGGCAAUGGGCGAAAGCCUGACCCAGCAACGCCGCGUGAAGGAUGAAAUCCCUCGGGAUGUAAACUUCGCAAGAACAGGAAGAAUAAGUAGGGGACAAUACCCCCUAUGAUGACGGUAC